UACAGAGGGGGCAAGCGUUAUUCGGAAUUAUUGGGCGUAAAGCGCGCGCAGGUGGUUUCUUAAGUCUGAUGUGAAAGCCCACGGCUCAACCGUGGAGGGUCAUUGGAAACUGGGGAACUUGAGUGCAGAAGAGGAAAGUGGAAUUCCAAGUGUAGCGGUGAAAUGCGUAGAGAUUUGGAGGAACACCAGUGGCGAAGGCGACUUUCUGGUCUGUAACUGACACUGAGGCGCGAAAGCGUGGGGAGCGAACAGG
rnacentral:rRNA from 1 species